rnacentral:rRNA from 1 species
CGAACGGGUGAGUAACACGUGGGCAACCUGCCCAAAAGAGGGGGAUAACACUUGGAAACAGGUGCUAAUACCGCAUAACCAUAGUUACCGCAUGGUAACUAUGUAAAAGGUGGCUAUGCUACCGCUUUUGGAUGGGCCCGCGGCGCAUUAGCUAGUUGGUGGGGUAAAGGCUUACCAAGGCAAUGAUGCGUAGCCGAACUGAGAGGUUGAUCGGCCACAUUGGGACUGAGACACAGCCCAAACUCCUACGGGAGGCAGCAG